rnacentral:rRNA from 1 species
AACGAACGCUGGCGGCAGGCUUAACACAUGCAAGUCGAACGCCCCGCAAGGGGAGUGGCAGACGGGUGAGUAACGCGUGGGAACAUACCCUUUCCUGCGGAAUAGCUCUGGGAAAGUGGAAUUAAUACCGCAUACGCCCUAAGGGGGAAAGAUGUAUCGGGGAAGGAUUGGCCCGCGUUGGAUUAGCUAGUUGGUGGGGUAAAGGCCUACCAAGGCGACGAUCCAUAGCUGGUCUGAGAGGAUGAUCAGCCACAUUGGGACUGAGACACGGCCCAAACUCCUACGGGAGGCAGCAGUGGGGAAUAUUGGACAAUGGGCGCAAGCCUGAUCCAGCCAUGCCGCGUGGAUGAUGAAGGUCUUAGGAUUGUAAAAUCCUUUCACCGGUGAAGAUAAUGACUGUAGCCGGAGAAGAAGCCCCGGCUAACUUCGUGCCAGCAGCCGCGGUAAAAC